rnacentral:rRNA from 1 species
GAUGAACGCUGGCGGCGUGCCUAAUACAUGCAAGUCGAGCGAACAGACGAGGAGCUUGCUCCUCUGACGUUAGCGGCGGACGGGUGAGUAACACGUGGAUAACCUACCUAUAAGACUGGGAUAACUUCGGGAAACCGGAGCUAAUACCGGAUAAUAUAUUGCACCGCAUGGUUCAAUAGUGAAAGACGGUUUUGCUGUCACUUAUAGAUGGAUCCGCGCCGCAUUAGCUAGUUGGUAAGGUAACGGCUUACCAAGGCAACGAUGCGUAGCCGACCUGAGAGGGUGAUCGGCCACACGGGAACGGAGACAGGGUCCAGACUCCUACGGGAGGCAGCAGUAGGGAAUCUUACGCAAGGGGCGAAAGCCUGACGGAGCAACGCCGCGUGAGUGAUGAAGGUGUUCGGAUCGGAAAACUCUGUUAUUAGGGAAGAACAAAUGUGUAAGUAACUAUGCACGUCUUGACGGUACCGAAUCAGAAAGCCACGGCUAACUACGUG